CAAAUUCCAAUUAAACAGGGCAGAGAUGGAUAGGGAAGGGAGUGUGAUGUGACGAGGCCACAGAGAGCUCAGCCCCCAGGAUGGAUGGGAAACCCUGGGUCACCGUUCUUGGAGGGGGACCUCAGAAUAGUUCUCUGCCCUCGUCUGUGAAGCUGAGGACGCCUGGACCCAGGAUCAAUGUCUCUCUGCCCAGCUUGCUGUCCUGAUCCUGCCUGGGGCAGAGGAAGCACCAGCCCUUUUAUCCCAGGAGAUCAAAGCAGCCUGUGCAGGGAUGUUCAGCCUGUACCAGGACUGUCUGAAGAUUCAGAACUCAUAACUCCCCAAAUGUGUCAGGUAUGUACAACUACAGCCCAGGUUACCACUGCGCCAUCGAAGGCACAGGAACGUGAAUAAGAAGGCGCUACGUGGAAGUGGGAAGAGAUUCUGGAAGCAAGGUCUUGUGAGGACUCCAGGCUCAGGAAACUGUCUUCCUCCGUCACCUGUCUGCCACCCCCCAGGAAAAGAGGCAGCUUAGCCACGUGGUAUAAUCAGGGACAUGGGGCCUGACUUCUGGGACCUGAAUCCUGACUCUGCCACUUACUAGCUGUGUGACCCUAGGUAAGCUCUAUCUGGGCCUCAUUUCUCCAUAUAAAACUGGGGAGAACAGAAGUACCUUCCAUAUGAGUUGCUAUGAAGAUUAAAUAAGUGAUUACUUGUAAGAUGUUUACUACAGUGCCUGGUACCCAGGAACUCUCAAUACAAAUGUGCUAUUACUAGCCUUGUCAACUGUUCAAACAGGCAACCGUCCAUCCACCCAGCACGGACUACUGGUCCCCUACGCCAGGCCCUGGAGAAACCAAGCCCUAUCAGUAAUGGAGCUCUCAGUCUUGUGACAAAGAUAAAUCCCAGACCCAAAUGACUGCAUAGCAGGACGGAGAGUAAUUGGUGGCAGGGGGUGGCAUGGAUGAAGUGCUGGGGGGCUUUAAGAUGAGAGAGGUUAUCCUUAGCUUGGGGGGCAGUUCAUGAAAGCUUCAUGGUAGAAGUGGCUUUUGACC